GAUGAACGCAUAUCGGUGCCAGUCUACUUUGAAUAAGACGUGAAUUCGCUUGUUCAGUUUGUUGAUUAUUGAACUCUUUGUUUUAUAACCAGUACCUGAAGUGUAAACACUGAAAAAGAAAUGCAUCCUCCGUGCGGCCCAAGCUGCGGCAAGACCUUUUGCCUACCACAUUGCUACCACCGCUACAAAAUAGUAGUAUACCCAUCUCCUCCACCACCGCCACAUCACCACUAUCCUCAUCCCCCACAUCACCACCAUCCCCAUCCCCCACACCACCACCCGCAUCACCCACCACAUCCCCCGCAUCAUCAUCACCACCAGUAUCCACCGCACCUCCACUGCCCGCCACACCACUCACCAAUGCCAUUUGAAUAUCGACGAUAGAAUUUUGGUAAAAUGAGGCGAUUAAAUUACCAUUGAACUUCUUGCGAUCUUGACAUGACGAUAUUGUUAAAGUAAUCACCAUCAAUUCAAUGUUGUUAUUAAUAAAGGCCAAAAACAUUGACAUUCAUCUUCAGACAAACUCGUAAUUUCUUAUACUUAUUAUUACGGGUUCACAUUUCUUAUUUAAUUUUUUUAUCAGUUAAAAUUUCAUAAAUAAAAAGCACAAGACUUAUGAUGACAGUUCAAACUGCCAUUAGAAAUGUCAUAUACUUCUC